CAAAAACAUCGCCUCCCGCAAAAAUCAAAGUAUAGGAGGUCCUACCUGCCCAGUGAUUAAAUUAAACGGCCGCGGUAUUUUGACCGUGCUAAGGUAGCGCAAUCACUUGUCUUUUAAAUGAAGACCUGUAUGAAUGGUGGAACGAGGGCUUAACUGUCUUCCUUCUCAGGUCAGUGAAAUUGAUCUGCCCGUGCAGAAGCGGACAUAAAAAUACAAGACGAGAAGACCCUUUGGAGCUUAAGACAUAAGAUCAAUUGUGUUAAAAACCCUUAUAAAGAACCAAACAAAACAACACCUGAUCGACGUCUUCGGUUGGGGCGACCACGGGGGAAAACAAAGCCCCCACGUAGAACGGGACAACCCCUAAAACUAAGAGGGACACCUCUAAGUCACAGAACCUCUGACUUAAAAGAUCCGGCACAUGCCGAUUAACGAACCAAGUUACCCUAGGGAUAACAGCGCAAUCCCCUCCAAGAGUCCAUAUCGACAAGGGGGUUUACGACCUCGAUGUUGGAUCAGGACAUCCUAAUGGUGCAGCCGCUAUUAAGGGUUCGUUUGUUCAACGAUUAAAGUUCUACGUGAUCUGA
rnacentral:rRNA from 1 species